UACGGGGGGGGCGAAGCGUUGUUCGGAAUUACUGGGCGUAAAGGCUCGUAGGCGGCCAACUAAGUCAGACGUGAAAUCCCUCGGCUUAACCGGGGAACUGCGUCUGAUACUGGAUGGCUUGAAUCCGGGAGAGGGAUGCGGAAUUCCAGGUGUAGCGGUGAAAUGCGUAGAUAUCGAGAGGAACACCUGCGGCGAAGGCGGGUUGCUGGGCUGACACUGACGCUGAGGCGCGAAAGCUAGGGGAGCGAACGGG
rnacentral:rRNA from 1 species